rnacentral:rRNA from 1 species
ACACUCCUACGGGAGGCAGCAGUGGGGAAUUUUGGACAAUGGGCGAAAGCCUGAUCCAGCAAUGCCGCGUGAGUGAAGAAGGCCUUCGGGUUGUAAAGCUCUUUUGUCAGGGAAGAAACGGUGAAGGCUAAUAUCUUUUGCUAAUGACGGUACCUGAAGAAUAAGCACCGGCUAACUACGUGCCAGCAGCCGCGGUACUACGUAGGGUGCAAGCGUUAAUCGGAAUUACUGGGCGUAAAGCGUGCGCAGGCGGUUUUGUAAGUCUGAUGUGAAAUCCCCGGGCUCAACCUGGGAAUUGCAUUGGAGACUGCAAGGCUAGAAUCUGGCAGAGGGGGGUAGAAUUCCACGUGUAGCAGUGAAAUGCGUAGAUAUGUGGAGGAACACCGAUGGCGAAGGCAGCCCCCUGGGUCAAGAUUGACGCUCAUGCACGAAAGCGUGGGGAGCAAACAGGAUUAGAUACCCCGGUAGUCCCAU